GAUGAAGAACGCAGCGAAAUGCGAUAAGUAGUGUGAAUUGCAGAAUUCAGUGAAUCAUCGAAUCUUUGAACGCACAUUGCGCCCUUUGGUAUUCCAAAGGGCAUGCCUGUUCGAGCGUCAUUUGUGCCCUCAAGCUUUGCUUGGUGUUGGGCGUCUUGUCUCUAGCUUUGCUGGAGACUCGCCUUAAAGUAAUUGGCAGCCGGCCUACUGGUUUCGGAGCGCAGCACAAGUCGCACUCUCUAUCAGCAAAGGUCUAGCAUCCAUUAAGCCUUUUUUUCAACUUUUGACCUCGGAUCAGGUAGGGAUACCCGCUGAACUUAAGCAUAUCAAUAAGCGGAGGA
rnacentral:misc_RNA from 1 species